rnacentral:lncRNA from 1 species
UAUACCUCCUCAAAAUCAAAUUUUUGCUGAUAUUAUUGUGGAUCCACUUUCCACCCACUUUAACUCAUUCAAUAUUAAGUUAUAUUUAAUUGUAAUUUUACAUUCAUUUUUUAUAACUUAAUAUAAAUUAAUUUGAUAAAUAUUUAUAAGUAAUAUAAAAAUAAAUAAAUUAGUUUGUAAAAGAUAAUAUAACAAAAUUAACACUCUAAUCAAUAAAAGAUAACAUAAUAAAGAGAAAAAAAAAAGAACGAAAACUGGGAGAAAAAAAGAGAGAAGAAGCAAAAAACUAAAAAUAAUGUGAAAUACAUCUCCAAAGCAAAAGA